rnacentral:rRNA from 1 species
UACGGGGGGGACGAGCGUUGUUCGGAUUUACUGGGCGUAAAGGGCGCGUAGGCGGGCCUUCAAGUCGGGUGUGAAAACUGAAAGCUUAACUUUCAGACUGCAUUCGAUACUGUUGGUCUUGAGUACAGUAGAGGAAAGCGGAAUUCCAGGUGUAGCGGUGAAAUGCGUAGAUAUCUGGAAGAACACCAGUAGCGAAGGCGGCUUUCUGGGCUGAUACUGACGCUAAAGCGCGAAGGCUUGGGUAGCAAACAGG